rfam:Colletotrichum orbiculare MAFF 240422 contig00351, whole genome shotgun sequence.
ACAUACGACCAUACCCACUGGAGAACUCGGGAUCCCGUCCGCUCUCCCAUAGAUAAGCCAGUGAGGGCCGAAUUAGUAGUUGGGUCGGUGACGACCAGCGAAUACCUGGUGUUGUAUGUA